UACAGAGACUGCAAGCGUUAUUCGGAUUCACUGGGCGUAAAGGGCGCGUAGGCGGCCUCCGCAAGUCAGUUGUGAAAUCUCCGAGCUUAACUCGGAAAGGUCAACUGAUACUGCGGGGCUAGAGUGCGGAAGGGGCAACUGGAAUUCUUGGUGUAGCGGUGAAAUGCGUAGAUAUCAAGAGGAACACCUGCGGCGAAGGCGGGUUGCUGGGCCGACACUGACGCUGAGGCGCGAAAGCUAGGGGAGCGAACGGG
rnacentral:rRNA from 1 species